rnacentral:rRNA from 1 species
AACGCUGGCGGCGUGCCUAAUACAUGCAAGUCGAGCGAACUGAUUAGAAGCUUGCUUCUAUGACGUUAGCGGCGGACGGGUGAGUAACACGUGGGCAACCUGCCUGUAAGACUGGGAUAACUUCGGGAAACCGAAGCUAAUACCGGAUAGGAUCUUCUCCUUCAUGGGAGAUGAUUGAAAGAUGGUUUCGGCUAUCACUUACAGAUGGGCCCGCGGUGCAUUAGCUAGUUGGUGAGGUAACGGCUCACCAAGGCAACGAUGCAUAGCCGACCUGAGAGGGUGAUCGGCCACACUGGGACUGAGACACGGCCCAGACUCCUACGGGAGGCAGCAGUAGGGAAUCUUCCGCAAUGGACGAAAGUCUGACGGAGCAACGCCGCGUGAGUGAUGAAGGCUUUCGGGUCGUAAAACUCUGUUGUUAGGGAAGAACAAGUACRAGAGUAACUGCUYGUACCUUGACGGUACCUAACCAGAAAGCCACGGCUAACUAC